AUUGAACGCUGGCGGCAGGCCUAACACAUGCAAGUCGAACGGUAACAGGAAGCAGCUUGCUGCUUCGCUGACGAGUGGCGGACGGGUGAGUAAUGUCUGGGAAGCUGCCUGAUGGAGGGGGAUAACUACUGGAAACGGUAGCUAAUACCGCAUAAUGUCGCAAGACCAAAGAGGGGGACCUUCGGGCCUCUUGCCAUCGGAUGUGCCCAGAUGGGAUUAGCUUGUUGGUGGGGUAACGGCUCACCAAGGCCACGAUCCCUAGCUGGUCUGAGAGGAUGACCAGCCACACUGGAACUGAGACACGGUCCAGACUCCUACGGGAGGCAGCAGUGGGGAAUAUUGCACAAUGGGCGCAAGCCUGAUGCAGCCAUGCCGCGUGUAUGAAGAAGGCCUUCGGGUUGUAAAGUACUUUCAGCGGGGAGGAAGGGAGUAAAGUUAAUACCUUUGCUCAUUGACGUUACCCGCAGAAGAAGCACCGGCUAACUCCGUG
rnacentral:rRNA from 1 species